GACGAACGCUGGCGGCGUGCUUAACACAUGCAAGUCGAACGGAAAGGCCCUGCUUUUGUGGGGUGCUGGAGUGGCGAACGGGUGAGUAACACGUGAGUAACCUGCCCUUGACUUUGGGAUAACUUCAGGAAACUGGGGCUAAUACCGGAUAGGAGCUCCUGCUGCAUGGUGGGGGUUGGAAAGUUUCGGCGGUUGGGGAUGGACUCGCGGCUUAUCAGCUUGGUGGUGGGGUAGUGGCUUACCAAGGCUUUGACGGGUAGCCGGCCUGAGAGGGUGACCGGCCACAUUGGGACUGAAAUGCGGCCCAGACUCCUACGGGAGGCAGCGGUGGGGAAUAGUGCACAAUGGGCGGAAGCCAGAUGCAGCAACGCCGCGUGCGGGAUGACGGCCUUCGGGUUGUAAACCGCUUUCGCCUGUGACGAAGCGUGAGUGACGGUAAUGGGUAAAGAAGCACCGGCUAACUACGUG
rnacentral:rRNA from 1 species